rnacentral:rRNA from 1 species
AGAGUUUGAUCAUGGCUCAGAUUGAACGCUGGCGGCAGGCCUAACACAUGCAAGUCGAGCGGUAGCACAGAGAGCUUGCUCUCGGGUGACGAGCGGCGGACGGGUGAGUAAUGUCUGGGAAACUGCCUGAUGGAGGGGGAUAACUACUGGAAACGGUAGCUAAUACCGCAUAACGUCGCAAGACCAAAGUGGGGGACCUUCGGGCCUCAUGCCAUCAGAUGUGCCCAGAUGGGAUUAGCUAGUAGGUGAGGUAACGGCUCACCUAGGCGACGAUCCCUAGCUGGUCUGAGAGGAUGACCAGCCACACUGGAACUGAGACACGGUCCAGACUCCUACGGGAGGCAGCAGUGGGGAAUAUUGCACAAUGGGCGCAAGCCUGAUGCAGCCAUGCCGCGUGUGUGAAGAAGGCCUUCGGGUUGUAAAGCACUUUCAGCGGGGAGGAAGGCGUUAAGGUUAAUAACCUUGGCGAUUGACGUUACCCGCAGAAGAAGCACCGGCUAACUCCGUGCCAGCAGCCGCGGUAAUACGGAGGGUGCAAGCGUUAAUCGGAAUUACUGGGCGUAAAGCGCACGCAGGCGGUCUGUCAAGUCGGAUGUGAAAUCCCCGGGCUUAACCUGGGAACUGCAUUCGAAACUGGCAGGCUAGAGUCUUGUAGAGGGGGGUAGAAUUCCAGGUGUAGCGGUGAAAUGCGUAGAGAUCUGGAGGAAUACCGGUGGCGAAGGCGGCCCCCUGGACAAAGACUGACGCUCAGGUGCGAAAGCGUGGGGAGCAAACAGGAUUAGAUACCCUGGUAGUCCACGCCGUAAACGAUGUCGAUUUGGAGGUUGUGCCCUUGAGGCGUGGCUUCCGGAGCUAACGCGUUAAAUCGACCGCCUGGGGAGUACGGCCGCAAGGUUAAAACUCAAAUGAAUUGACGGGGGCCCGCACAAGCGGUGGAGCAUGUGGUUUAAUUCGAUGCAACGCGAAGAACCUUACCUGGUCUUGACAUCCACAGAACUU